rnacentral:rRNA from 1 species
GAGUUUGAUUCUGGCUCAGGAUGAACGCUGGCGGCGUGCUUAACACAUGCAAGUCGAACGGGCGAAUUAUAUCAGAGGUCUUCGGGCCGAAGAGAUAAUAAGCUAGUGGCGGACGGGUGCGUAACGUGUGGGUAAUCUGCCUUUGUCAUAGGAAUAACUGCUUGAAAAAGUAGCUAAUACCAAAUAACAUAUCGUAUAGGCAUCUAUAAGAUAUCAAAGAGAAAUCGGACAAAGAUGAGCCCGCAUCUGAUUAGCUGGUUGGUAGGGUAAAAGCCUACCAAGGCGACGAUCAGUAGCCGGCCUGAGAGGGUGAACGGCCACAUUGGAACUGAGACACGGUCCAAACUCCUACGGGAGGCAGCAGUGGGGAAUAUUGCACAAUGGGGGGAACCCUGAUGCAGCAACGCCGCGUGAGUGAAGAAGGCUUUCGAGUCGUAAAACUCUGUUGUAAGGGAAGAUAAUGACGUACCU